rnacentral:rRNA from 1 species
AGUAACGCGUAAACAACCUGCCCUUCGGAUGGGGAUAACAGCCGGAAACGGCUGCUAAUACCGAAUACGAUCUUUUCGUCGCAUGACGAAAAGAAGAAAGGAUGGCCUCUAUACAAAGCUAUCGCCGAAGGAGGGGUUUGCGUCUGAUUAGCUGGUUGGAGGGGUAACGGCCCAACAAGGCGAUGAUCAGUAGCCGGUCUGAGAGGAUGAACGGCCACAUUGGGACUGAGACACGGCCCAGACUCCUACGGGAGGCAGCAGCC